GCAGUCGCCGCGGUAAUACAGAGGGUGCGAGCGUUAAUCGGAUUUACUGGGCGUAAAGCGUGCGUAGGCGGCUUCUUAAGUCGGAUGUGAAAUCCCUGAGCUUAACUUAGGAAUUGCAUUCGAUACUGGGAAGCUAGAGUAUGGGAGAGGACGGUAGAAUUCCAGGUGUAGCGGUGAAAUGCGUAGAGAUCUGGAGGAAUACCGAUGGCGAAGGCAGCCAUCUGGCCUAAUACUGACGCUGAGGUACGAAAGCAUGGGGAGCAAACAGGAUUAGAUACCCGUGUAGUCCCUGUCUCUUAUAC
rnacentral:rRNA from 1 species